rnacentral:rRNA from 1 species
UACGGAGGUGGCAAGCGUUGCUCGGAAUCACUGGGCGUAAAGGGCGCGUAGGCGGGGAGGUAAGUCGGGUGUGAAAUCCCUCGGCCCAACUGAGGAACUGCGCCCGAGACUGCUUCUCUUGAGUCCCGGAGAGGAAGAUGGAAUUCCCGGUGUAGCGGUGAAAUGUGUAGAUAUCAGGAGGAACACCGGUGGCGAAGGCAGGUCUCUGGGCCGAUACUGACGCUGAGGAGCGAAAGCGUGGGGAGCGAACAGG